rnacentral:lncRNA from 10 species
CAUGCAGAGGGCCGGGAAGCCCCACAAAUCCCUCAAGCAAACACUCAAGUCAAACAGCACCAUUUACCCUGCAAGGCCCAAGUAACUGGGAUUACAGGUACCUGCCACCAGAAGUUGGCUAAUUUUUUGUAUUUUUAGGAGAGACAGUGUUUUGCCAUGUAGGCCAGGCUGGUCUCAAACUCCUGACCUCAGGGGAUUCACCCACCUCAGCCUCCCAAAGUUCUGGGAUUACAGGCGUGAGCCAUCACGCCUGGCCUGAAGUAACAUUGUUCUAAGUGUAUAUAAAGUUCAGAAUCUGGGGAAAUACUUCCUGUGAAGACAGGAGGAAAAAAUGAGUUUCUGGAAAAGACAUAGAAAGAUCACUUGGAGCAGGGGUAGGAGGAGCAAGAGAAUGAUGCAUCCUAGAAGGCAAUGGGGUGGAGGGAGCCUGGAGGGGUUGGUCUGCCACACCAAAUGCUAGGGAGGACUCGGAAGCAAAGAAACUUCUGAUCUGGUCAUUUGGAGGUCAAAGAUGCUAUGCAUGGAGUCAAUUAAGCAGGCAAUUGAUUGGCCCUGUUUCUCCAUCUGAGAAUUGAAGGGCUUGGAUAAGACCAGAAAAGGCACAAGGUGCAUCUUGAAAGAGCAGCCAUGCAUCACACCGCCUGCCUGAGUACUGUGCCUAAAGCCAUACCUCAGCUCACUGGGAAAGGACCCCACAGUGGAUCAGCAACGUCUGCCUUGGGCAAGUCGGGCAAGAGUAUCUCAUCCCCGGAGCACAUUGUUUCUACAGACCUGUCCACCUCCAGAGACAUGGUUCAUGGUGGUCGGCACUUAGCAGGCUUCCCGUAAUUAAUUACUGAUUGGAAUUAAACUCUGCAAUCUAAUCUGUGUCUCUGACAUCCUUUAAAUGACUGUGACUCAAGGAGCGCUCAGGGAAAAAUAAAAGGACAAUUAUCUUUUUUCCAUCGACUUCUUUUGAGGCCCCGAGAAACAGAAAGUCUGAGAGUUUGGCUAUCAGAGGCGCUCUGGGCAGCCCUGCCCAAAGCAGAUGAUCCUCCAAUCCAAGACGGGCCCUCAGAUGUUCCAAACAUGCUUCCUCUCCGAUAAAGUAACACCGUCCAGGAGGGUUCACCCUCAUUUUCACAGUACUCGGUG